rnacentral:rRNA from 1 species
GGCCACAGCUAUAUCCCCCUGCAGCCCAAGACUGGUUGCCCACUGAAGCUAAGAAGGGUUGAGCCUGGUCAGUACCUGGAUGGGAGACCUCCUGGGAAAACUAGGUUGCUGUUGGAA